UACGGAGGAUGCGAGCGUUAUCCGGAUUUAUUGGGUUUAAAGGGUGCGUAGGCGGGUUAUCAAGUCAGCGGUAAAAUAGCGGGGCUCAACCCCGUCGAGCCGUUUGAACUGGCGCGCUUGAGUUCAGGCGAGGUAGGCGGAAUUCGUGGUGUAGCGGUGAAAUGCAUAGAUAUCACGAAGAACUCCGAUUGCGAAGGCAGCAUACCGGUGCACAACUGACGCUCAGGCACGAAAGCGUGGGUAUCGAACAGG
rnacentral:rRNA from 1 species